rnacentral:rRNA from 1 species
UACGUAGGGUGCAAGCGUUGUCCGGAAUUAUUGGGCGUAAAGAGCUCGUAGGCGGUCUGUCGCGUCGGCUGUGAAAACCCGGAGCUCAACUCCGGGCCUGCAGUCGAUACGGGCAGACGUGGAGUUCGGCAGGGGAGACUGGAAUUCCUGGUGUAGCGGUGAAAUGCGCAGAUAUCAGGAGGAACACCGGUGGCGAAGGCGGGUCUCUGGGCCGAUACUGACGCUGAGGAGCGAAAGCGUGGGGAGCGAACAGG